AUAAAACAUUUUUAAACUCUAAAUUUUACAUUUUAAAGUUUCAUAUUACUUAAAAAAUGUUACAAAAUGAUAAUAAAUAUUGUUAACAAAAGAUAUUUUAACUAAAUCAUAAAAUAAUAUAUAUAUAUAUAUAUAUAUAAUAGAACACAAAAAAUCAUAAUUUUGGAAAUACAUGUUUUUAAGUUAGGUACAAAUCGAUUCUUAUCGGGUCGGGUCUAUUCAGAUCGGUUCUUUUCGGGUCCGGAUCUAUUCGGGUCGUUUCUUUUCAGUUCCGGUUCUUUUGGGUAAAAUAAAUUUAGACUGUAAAAGUAAUUAUAAAUUUUAUGUUCGAUUUCGAGUCGGGUAUUUGCAGGUAGCGUUUUACGGGUAUUUUAUGCGUAUUUUAACUAUAAAUUCGGGUCGGAUUUUCGGGUCGAGGUUAAAAUGUCCCAAACCUAGAUGCUACCAUAGCGUUUUGCGAACACACGGUAUCGCCGCAUCACGCGUUUUGUAAGACACUAGUUUGAGAAAAAGAAAGCUUCUACGGUUCUACCGUUUUGGUUUUGCAGGAAAUGGUCAACUGGUUUAUUCUGGUUUCGAUAACCAAAUUGAGACGAGUGUAAACUGGUUUGUUUCGGUUACGUCUCAAUUUCCAUUUGGUCUGUGAUAAUCUUCUUCCUUCUGUACGAAUUUCGGUUCGAUUAGUCAAACUAAAACCGGUUAGAUCGGUUCGAUUUAGAGAGAGUUUGAAAGCUUGAAGCAAGGUAGCAGUGCUAUUAAAGCGAUUCAAAGCGAGGUGGACCUUGAUGAUGUUCAGAAACUAAUGGAUGAUACUGCUGAUGCUAAAGCCUAUCAAGAUGUGAGUCCAAACUUUGUUACCACUUUUGAAUCCUUCUGUGUUUGACUGUGUUAACAUUUGUUGGAUGUUCAGGAGCUGAAUGCUAUAUUGGGAGAGAAACUAUCAGCAGAGUAUGAAGAAGAGAUAUUAGCAGAAUUUGACAAACUAGAAAGAAGUUAGCUUGUUGUUGAUGAGAUGCCUGAUGUGCCUACAACGGAGCCUGACGAAUCUGAGAAGCUGAAUCUUCCUGAUGUGCCAACGGAAACACCUGUCGCUUCAAGAGCUGAAUCUGCCACAAAGAGAAAAGAUUCUUCUUCAUCUCCCUCUCCUUGUGAUGGUAUUGUUCGAUUUUGCAAGAACCUAAACUCAAAACAUGUUUUGUUUGGUCUGUUCCUUUCACUCUGCAGUUCUCGAAGAACCUUUGCCAGCUUAAGCAAGAAGAAACUGAUCAACAUUAUCAUUCUUUUAGCACUUUUUAAAAUUUUCUUGAAGCUUACUGUAUAAACUUGAAGUCAUAGUCAUUCGUAGAUAAACCAAUCCGGAUUAUGACAAGAGUGUUACAUCUC